CACGUAGGGCGCGAGCGUUGUCCGGAAUUAUUGGGCGUAAAGAGCUCGUAGGCGGCCUGUUGCGUCCGCUGUGAAAGCCCGGGGCUUAACCCCGGGUCUGCAGUGGAUACGGGCUGGCUGGAGGCAGGCAGGGGAGAACGGAAUUCCCGGUGUAGCGGUGAAAUGCGCAGAUAUCGGGAGGAACACCGGUGGCGAAGGCGGUUCUCUGGGCCUGUACUGACGCUGAGGAGCGAAAGCGUGGGGAGCGAACAGG
rnacentral:rRNA from 1 species